rnacentral:rRNA from 1 species
UACGUAGGGUGCAAGCGUUAAUCGGAAUUACUGGGCGUAAAGCGUGCGCAGGCGGUUUUGUAAGUCUGACGUGAAAUCCCCGGGCUCAACCUGGGAAUUGCGUUGGAGACUGCAAGGCUAGAAUCUGGCAGAGGGGGGUAGAAUUCCACGUGUAGCAGUGAAAUGCGUAGAGAUGUGGAGGAACACCGAUGGCGAAGGCAGGCCCCUGGGUUAACAUUGACGCUGAUGCACGAAAGCGUGGGGAGCAAACAGG